UACGGAGGGGACUAGCGUUGUUCGGAAUUACUGGGCGUAAAGCGCGCGUAGACGGAUUAGUCAGUCAGAGGUGAAAUCCCGGGGCUCAACCCCGGAACUGCCUUUGAUACUGCUAGUCUUGGGUUCGAGAGAGGUGAGUGGAAUUCCGAGUGUAGAGGUGAAAUGCGUAGAGAUCGGGAGGAACACCAGUGGCGAAGGCGGCUCACUGGCUCGAAACUGACGCUGAGGUGCGAAAGCGUGGGGAGCAAACAGG
rnacentral:misc_RNA from 1 species